UGGGGAAUUUUGCGCAAUGGACGAAAGUCUGACGCAGCGACGCCGCGUGUGCGAUGAAGGCCUUUGGGUCGUAAAGCACUGUCGACCGGGACGAAAACUCACGGACUAAUACUUCGUGAGUCUGACGGUACUGGUAAAGGAAGCACCGGCUAACUCUGUGCCAGCAGCCGCGGUAAUACAGAGGGUGCAAACGUUGCUCGGAAUUAUUGGGCGUAAAGCGCGUGUAGGCGGCUUGUUAAGUUGGUUGUGAAAACCCAUGGCUCAACCAUGGAAGUGCGUCCAAAACUGGCAAGCUAGAGUUCUGACGAGGAUGGCGGAAUUCCCAGUGUAGAGGUGAAAUUCGUAGAUACUGGCAGGAACACCGGAGGCGAAGGCGGCCAUCUGGAUCACAACUGACGCUGAUACUCGAAAGCGUGGGGAGCAAACAGGAUUAGAUACCCUCGUAGUCCCUGAGCGGGCUGGCAAGGCGCAU
rnacentral:rRNA from 1 species